GAUGAACGCUAGCGGGAGGCCUAACACAUGCAAGCCGAGCGGUAUUUGUUCUUCGGAACAGAGAGAGCGGCGCACGGGUGCGGAACACGUGUGCAACCUGCCUUUAUCUGGGGGAUAGCCUUUCGAAAGGAAGAUUAAUAACCCAUAAUAUAUUGAGUGGCAUCAUUUGAUAUUGAAAACUCCGGUGGAUAGAGAUGGGCACGCGCAAGAUUAGUUAGUUGGUGAGGUAACGGCUCACCAAGUCAAUGAUCUUUAGGGGGCCUGAUAGGGUGAUCCCCCACACUGGUACUGCGGCCCGGACCAGAAUCCUACGGGAGGCAGCAGUGAGGAAGAUUGGGCGAUGGGUUAUCGCCUGAUCCAGCCAUCCCGCGUGAAGGACGACUGCCCUAUGGGUUGUAAACUUCUUUUGUAUAGGGAUAAACCUACUCUCGUGAGAGUAGCUGAAGGUACUAUACGAAUAAGCACCGGCUAACUCCGUG
rnacentral:rRNA from 1 species